rnacentral:rRNA from 2 species
UUGAGUGAUGAAGGGUUUCGGCUCGUAAAACUCUGUUGUUGAGAAGAACAGGUGUCAGAGUAACUGUUGACAUCUGACGGUAUCCAACCAGAAAGCACGGCUAACUACGUGCCAGCAGCCGCGGUAAUACGUAGGUGGCGAGCGUUGUCCGGGAUUUAUUGGGCGUAAAGCGAGCGCAGGCGGUUUUUUAGGUCUGAUGUGAAAGCUUUCGGCUUAACCGGAGAAGUGCAUCGGAAACCGGGAGACUUGAGUGCAGAAGAGGACAGUGGAACUCCAUGUGUAGCGGUGAAAUGCGUAGAUAUAUGGAAGAACACCAGUGGCGAAGGCGGCUGUCUGGUCUGUAACUGACGCUGAGGCUCGAAAGCAUGGGUAGCGAACAGGAUUAGAUACCCUGGUAGUCCAUGCCGUAAACGAUGAGUGCUAAGUGUUGGAGGGUUUCCGCCCUUCAGUGCUGCAGCUAACGCAUUAAGCACUCCGCCUGGGGAGUACGACCGCAAGGUUGAAACUCAAAGGAAUUGACGGGGGCCCGCACAAGCGGUGGAGCAUGUGGUUUAAUUCGAUGCUACGCGAAGAACCUUACCAGGUCUUGACAUCUUCUGCCAACCUAAGAGAUUAGGCGUUCCCUUCGGGGACAGAAUGACAGGUGGUGCAUGGUUGUCGUCAGCUCGUGUCGUGAGAUGUUGGGUUAAGUCCCGCAACGAGCGCAACCCUUAUUGUUAGUUGCCAGCAUUCAGUUGGGCACUCUAGCAAGACUGCCGGUGACAAACCGGAGGAAGGUGGGGAUGACGUCAAAUCAUCAUGCCCCUUAUGACCUGGGCUACACACGUGCUACAAUGGACGGUACAACGAGUCGCGAAACCGCGAGGUCAAGCUAAUCUCUUAAAGCCGUUCUCAGUUCGGAUUGUAGGCUGCAACUCGCCUACAUGAAGUUGGAAUCGCUAGUAAUCGUGGAUCAGCAUGCCACGGUGAAUACGUUCCCGGGCCUUGUACACACCGCCCGUCACACCAUGAGAGUUUGUAACACCCAAAGCCGGUGAGGUAACCUUCGGGACCAGCCGUCUAAGGUGACAGAUUGG